UGGGGAAUAUUGCACAAUGGGCGAAAGCCUGAUGCAGCGACGCCGCGUGAGGGAUGACGGCCUUCGGGUUGUAAACCUCUUUCAGCAGGGACGAAGCGCAAGUGACGGUACCUGCAGAAGAAGCACCGGCUAACUACGUGCCAGCAGCCGCGGUAAUACGUAGGGUGCAAGCGUUGUCCGGAAUUACUGGGCGUAAAGAGUUCGUAGGCGGUUUGUCGCGUCGUUUGUGAAAACCAGCAGCUCAACUGCUGGCUUGCAGGCGAUACGGGCGGACUUGAGUACUGCAGGGGGGACUGGAAUUCCUGGUGUAGCGGUGAAAUGCGCAGAUAUCAGGGGGAACACCGGUGGCGAAGGCGGGUCUCUGGGCAGUAACUGACGCUGAGGAACGAAAGCGUGGGUAGCGAACAGG
rnacentral:rRNA from 1 species